UCCCUUGUAGCUCAGUUGGUAAAGAAUCUGCCUGCAAUGCAGGAGACCUAGGUUCGAUUCCUGGGUUGGGAA
rfam:TPA: Bos taurus chromosome 23, whole genome shotgun sequence.